CCCCUCUCAGGGUCGCAACUGGAGAGUUUCCAGUGCUCUGCCAGUCUCGGCUGUGGGAGGGAGAGUCAAGCAGAGGCAUAUCCAUUCCAUUCCUAGCUUGGGCAGUGACUAGCGAGCGGAAGGCAAUUUGGUACAAAC